CAGACGCUAGUUUGUGUGGAGCCGUCCUUGAAAUACCACCCUUGUAUGUUUGAUGUUCUAACUUAGACCCGUUAUCCGGGUCGAGGACAGUGCCUGGUGGGUAGUUUGACUGGGGCGGUCUCCUCCCAAAGAGUAACGGAGGAGCACGAAGGUGGGCUAAACACGGUUGGACAUCGUGUGGUUAGUGCAAUGGCAUAAGCCCGCUUGACUGCGAGAAUGACAAUUCGAGCAGGUGCGAAAGCAGGUCAUAGUGAUCCGGUGGUUCUGAAUGGAAGGGCCAUCGCUCAACGGAUAAAAGGUACUCCGGGGAUAACAGGCUGAUACCGCCCAAGAGUUCAUAUCGACGGCGGUGUUUGGCACCUCGAUGUCGGCUCAUCACAUCCUGGGGCUGAAGUCGGUCCCAAGGGUAUGGCUGUUCGCCAUUUAAAGUGGUACGCGAGCUGGGUUUAGAACGUCGUGAGACAGUUCGGUCCCUAUCUGCCGUGGGCGUUGGAGAAUUGAAGGGGGCUGCUCCUAGUACGAGAGGACCGGAGUGGACGAACCUCUGGUGUUCGGGUUGUUACGCCAGUAGCAUUGCCCGGUAGCUAAGUUCGGAAUUGAUAACCGCUGAAAGCAUCUAAGCGGGAAGCAAGCCCUGAGAUGAGUUCUCCCUGGCACUUUAAGUGUCCUAAAGGGUUGUUCGAGACUAGAACGUUGAUAGGCAGGGUGUGUAAGUGCUGUGAGGCAUUGAGCUAACCUGUACUAAUUGCCCGUGAGGCUUAACCAUACAACACCCAAGGGGUUU
rnacentral:rRNA from 1 species